rnacentral:rRNA from 1 species
AUUGAACGCUGGCGGCAUGCCUUACACAUGCAAGUCGAACGGCAGCGUGGAAGAGCUUGCUCUUCUGAUGGCGAGUGGCGAACGGGUGAGUAAAGCAUCGGAACGUACCGUGUAAUGGGGGAUAACGUAGCGAAAGUUACGCUAAUACCGCAUACGACCUGAGGGUGAAAGCAGGGGAUCGCAAGACCUUGCGUUAUACGAGCGGCCGAUGUCAGAUUAGCUAGUUGGUGAGGUAAAGGCGCACCAAGCCGACGUGCUGUAGCGGGUCUGAGAGGAUGGUCCGCCACACUGGGACUGAGACACGGCCCAUACUCCUACGGGAGGCAGCAGUGGGGAAUUUUGGACAAUGGGGGCAACCCUGAUCCAGCCAUGCCGCGUGAGUGAAGAAGGCCUUCGGGUUGUAAAGCUCUUUCGGCCGGGAAGAAAUCGCACAGGCUAAUACUCUGUGUGGAUGACGGUACCGGCAUAAGAAGCACCGGCUAACUACGUGCCAGCCGCCGCAGUAA